UAUUUUUUUAAGUUUAUUUUUUUUUAAGGUUAUAAUUAAAAAGGAUUAUAUAAAUGUUUAUUUAAUAAAGAAUAUUAAAAUUUUUGUACUGUGAAGGAUAUUUUUUUAAAAUUAUGAAAUAAUUUAAAAAUAAAAAAGUAAGUUUUAUGUACCUUUUGUAUAAGGGUUUUUUAAAAAUUUUAAAGUAUUUUCAUUUCCCGAAGUGGAAAUGAUCUAUUAAAAAUUAUUUUUUAUGUGGAAUUAUAAAAAUUAAAUUUUUAAUAGAAAUGAAAUUUUAUUCAUAUUCCAUUAUAUCUGGUUAUGAAAAUAUGAUUAUAUAUCAAAUUAUUUUUUAAUUAAUAAUUUUUAAACAGAAUAAUUAAGAUUUGUGGGGAUAAUCUCAUAAUUUUUUUCUUAAAAAUGUUUAAAAAAUAUAAUUAAGGAAUAAAAUUUUCUAUUUCUUUUAGUAAAGAAUUAUAAAUUAAUAAAGAUUUUAGAAUAAAUUAAUGAUUAAAUUAAUUUAAUUUUAAUAAAAUUAUAAAAAAAUUAGUAAAAUUUCAUUUAAUUAAUAAGAUUAUGUAAUAAAUAUUUAUAUUGAAAAUUUUAAUUUUAAGUAACUCGGCAAAACUAUAAUAAUUGACUGUUUAUCAAAAACAUUUCAUUUUGAUGUUAAUAAAAUGUAAAUUCUGCUCAAUGAAUUUUAAAUUGCUGUGGUAUUUUGACUAUACGAAGGUAUUGAAAUAAGGCUUUAAAUGGGCGCUAAGAGAAUGAUUUAACAAUUAUUAGCUUUCUUUGUUAAAUAAAUUGAAUUUAAUUUUUUUUGUGAAGAAGCAAAAAUAAAAUUUAGGGACAAGAAGACCCUAUGAAUUUUAAUUUAUUAAUAAAUUUUUAUAUUAAUUAGUAAAUUUAAUUGGGGUGAUGGAAAAAGAAUAAGGAUCUUUUUUUAUAAAAUUAAUUUGUUCCGUUAAUAACGAUUAAAUGAAAAAAAUACUCUAGGGAUAACAGCGUAAUAAUUUUGGAUAGUUCAUAUAGAUAAAAUAGUUUGCGACCUCGAUGUUGGAUUAGGAUUCUUUUUUGGUGAAGAAGUUAAAAUAAGAAGUUUGUUCAACUUUUAAAUUCCUACAUGAUCUGAGUUCAGACCGGCGUAAGCCAGGUUGGUUUCUAUCUUAAUUUAAAAAAUAAUUUUUUUAGUACGAAAGGAAUAAAAAAUUCUAAAUCAUUUAGUUUUAAUUCAAUAAAAAAAUAAACUAAUUUGGCAGAAAAA
rnacentral:rRNA from 1 species